rnacentral:rRNA from 1 species
AUUGAACGCUGGCGGCAGGCCUAACACAUGCAAGUCGAGGGGAGGAAGGGAGCGUGCCCGUGGAUUCAGCGGCGGACGGGUGAGUAAUGCCUAGGAAUCUGCCGGGUAGCGGGGGAUAACGUCGGGAAACGGGCGCUAAUACCGCCUACGGCCUGCGGGAGAAAAAGGUGGAACGUGGGACCUGACGCGAUCAGAUGAGCCUAGGUCGGAUUGGCUAGUUGGGGGGGUAAAGGCCUACCAAGGCGACGAUCCGUAACUGGUCUGAGAGGAUGAGCAGUCACCCUGGCACUGAGGCACGGUCCGGCCUCCUACGGGCGGCCGCAGUGGGGCAUUUUGGACGAUUGCCGAAUGCCUGAUCCCCCCAUGCCGCGUGUGUGAAGAAGGUCUUCGGAUUGUAGAGCUGUUUACGUUUGUAGGCCGGGACGUAAGUUCAUCCCUUGCUGUUUUGACGUUACCAACAGAGUAAGCACCGGCUAACUUCGUG